AGGUAAGGGUGAAAGGGUGCGGUAAGAGCGCACCGCGCGUCUGGUAACAGUUCGCGGCACGGUAAACUCCACCCGGAGCAAGGCCAAAUAGGGGUUCAUAAGGUACGGCCCCGUACUGAACCCGGGUAGGCUGCUUGAGCCAGUGAGCGAUUGCUGGCCUAGAUGAAUGACUGUCCACGACAGAACCCGGCUUAACGGUCAGCUUCCUCA
rnacentral:RNase_P_RNA from 1 species